GUGACAGGUGUUUUCAGAGGGGUGGAGAGCAUCUGUACUCAUGGCUCACGGUUGCUAAUCAGAAAUAAUUGGUUGAUGUUACAGGGAGACGGACUUCAACUCAGUAUGAGGAAGAACUUUUAACAACUCUGUGACUGAACAUGGGGCACCGCGUCCUGGAAGCACUCUAAAUAUAUCAUCCCUUGCCUUCUGGCCUCCAAGGAUUCUUCUGAGAGAUGGGCUAAUGACUUUAUUGGACACAUCAUACACCAGCAGAUGAGCAGAAGAGGAGAAGCAGUUCCUCACAAAUGCGACGGUGUGAUGGGAGGACUCUCCAGGAUUAACAAUACCGUGAAGAUGAUCAGGUGACUAGGUCUCACCCUACCCACGGUACUUCCAAGAUGUCAAAAACGUGGUGGCCGUUAUUAUAAGCGGACAGGUGCAGUCUUAAUCAGGAAAAUUGUCAACAAGCCUGAUCAUCAUUUGAAUAAAGAUGGUUGAAUAGAGAGAACUCCAAGGACUUAGAGGAGGAUGGAGCCACAAUGUGGCAGGAGCCUGGGUUCCUGAAUCAGCAGUUGGAAAGGAGGCUCCCAGGAGAGGCAUCUGAAUGAGAACACACAUGAUGCUCUCUUAUGUGCAGGAAUCCUUCAUCUUUGGGUCCUUGGCUCGGAGCUCUGUGCCUGGAGCACAGUGGGAUCAUCAGAAUACCUGAUGGAUGAAUGGAGGAAAGACUGCUUGGAUAAACAGGGUCAGGCUGAAGCUGGGACCUGGCUUGGAACAGCAUACUUGUUUGGCUUCCUCCUCUCCCCUGGCCCGCUUCUCACAUGCCCCUCCUGCUUUCUCCAAAGAGCACGAAAAACAGAAACUAGGACAGCA